UACGUAGGCAGCAAGCGUUGUUCGGAAUUACUGGGCGUAAAGAGUGUGUAGGCGGUGCUCUAAGUUUGUCGUGAAAUCUCCCGGCUUAACUGGGAGGGUGCGGCGAAAACUGGAGUGCUAGAGGGUGGGAGAGGAAAGCGGAAUUCCUGGUGUAGCGGUGAAAUGCGUAGAUAUCGGGAGGAACACCAGUGGCGAAGGCGGCUCUCUGGACCUCUGCUGACGCUGAGGCGCGAAAGCGUGGGGAGCGAUCCGG
rnacentral:rRNA from 1 species